GACAUCACUUGGCAUCGCUAGAAAUAGCGAUACAGGCCAAAAUACCCACUCCAGCCAGCUCCCUACCUCCCCUCGCUAUUUUCUCGGCUUGGCAUCUCAUCCCAUCACUCCCCAUUUCGGUCUGACCGCAAGGGAGCUUGUCAUCACAACUGCCGCCAUCUGGAACCUCCCGUGCAAAUCUGCAGAAGGGUAAGGAAUGGCGUCGCCCACCUCGCCUCCACCAGAAUGGUGCGGUGAAGAGCCGGACCGGAGAGAGUAGGCACCGUCGUUGCUACUACUGCUGCUGCAACUGUGUGGAGGUGGAGGUGGGGAUCCUCCAGCAGGGCGAGAGGGGAGCGGAGCCAUGGCGAGUGACAUGCCCAUGAGCCCCGAAAUCAAGUAGGUGGACGGCGAGAUCCAGGACAUCUUCCGCGCCCUCUAUGGUGUUUCAGGAAAUGCAGGCGAAGACCAUGGCGGACCUUCGGUCGGAGCUCGAAGGUUGGCCUGCAACCUCCCCCAUCCGUGCAGGUGAAGGCCACGGUGGACCUUUGGUUGGAGCCUGAAGGUAGGUCUGCGAACCCUGCCGCCCGGGUAGGCGAAGGCUGCGGCAGGCCUUCGGUUGGAAGCCAAAGGUUGACCGGUGAUUCCGCUCAUCAGAGCGGGCGAAGGUACUGGCGUGUCUUCGGCCGGAGGCCGAAGGUCGACCCACGGCGCCGGAGGGUAGGAGUGAAGGUCGUGGUGAACCUUCGGUUGGAAGCUGGAGAGGGGCCCUCAGCGCAGUCAUGAGACUGGCCGAAGACCACAAAUGGACGUCGAUGCCCACUUAACUACCCAGGGCACAAUUGUAAUUAUGCAAAUGUACUUGAUUGUACCAUAAUGCCCCCAAAUAUGCCGAAAAUGUGGCAGUUGAGAGGGUUAAACUGUAAAUCCUAGCGUUAGGUAGUUGGGUACAGGGUAUACAUAGGGCCAUACUGUACUUGAAGU